rnacentral:lncRNA from 1 species
UCUGAAUUUAGAGCACAGGCACAGUUUGAAGACAGAACUAAAAUACAUUACAAUGAUUAAAAAGCUGCCUGUUUUCUUCCAUAGAGACCUCAGGCCUCAGAAAGAAGUGCCAGCAGAUUUACUUCCCUCUGUCAUAACCAGGCCAGGACUUUUUUGA